rnacentral:lncRNA from 1 species
UUCCUUUUGUCUGCUAGUGACGUACUAAUAGAACGUAUAUCAUUGGUCCACCUGUCCCUGCUACGUUGAUAUGGACGUACGAGGGAAUCAGAUCUCUGCUCCAUGCGUAACGGCCUCUGAUUCUUUCAGGACGCGUAUGCGGGUGGAUCCACACGAGGGACAUGCGGAUCUACUUCCUGGUUCCGGGUUGGGCCAGAGGAUGAGGUACGGGCCGAGCCCAACGAGGAUCGGCUGGUCCAGUCGG